AGAGUUUGAUCCUGGCUCAGGAUGAACGCUGGCGGCGUGCUUAACACAUGCAAGUCGAACGGAGUAAGUUUUCGGACUUACUUAGUGGCGGACGGGUGAGUAACGCGUGGGUAACCUACCUCAUACAGGGGGAUAACAGUUGGAAACGACUGCUAAAACCGCAUAACAAGUUGGGACCGCAUGAUCCUAACUUCAAAUAUUUAUAGGUAUGAGAUGGGCCCGCGUCUGAUUAGCUAGUUGGUGGGGUAAUGGCCUACCAAGGCAACGAUCAGUAGCCGGCUUGAGAGAGUGACCGGCCACAUUGGGACUGAGACACGGCCCAAACUCCUACGGGAGGCAGCAGUGGGGAAUAUUGGACAAUGGGGGCAACCCUGAUCCAGCGACGCCGCGUGAGUGAAGAAGUAUUUCGGUAUGUAAAGCUCUAUCAGCAGGGAAGAUAAUGACAGUACCUGACUAAGAAGCCCCGGCUAACUACGUGCCAGCAGCCGCGGUAAUACGUAGGGGGCAAGCGUUAUCCGGAUUUACUGGGUGUAAAGGGAGCGUAGGUGGCUCGAUAAGUCAGAAGUGAAAGCCCAGAGCUCAACUCUGGGACUGCUUUUGAAACUAUCGAGCUAGAGUGCAGGAGAGGUAAGUGGAAUUCCUAGUGUAGCGGUGAAAUGCGUAGAUAUUAGGAGGAACACCAGUGGCGAAGGCGGCUUAYUGGACUGUAACUGUCACUGAGGCUCGAAAGCGUGGGGAGCAAACAGGAUUAGAUACCCUGGUAGUCCMCGCCGUAAACGAUGAAUACUAGCUGUUGGGGUAUCAACCUCGGUGGCGCAGCUAACGCAAUAAGUAUUCCACCUGGGGAGUACGUUCGCAAGAAUGAA
rnacentral:rRNA from 1 species